UAUUUUGAGAGAGAGAGAGCAUGAGCACAAGCACGGGAGGGACAAAGAGAAAGAGAGAGAAUCCCAAGCAGGCUCCUCCGUGCUGUCAGUGUGGAGCCUGACUUGGGGCUUGAAUCCACAAACUGUGAUACUGUGACCUGAGCCAAAAUCAAGAGUCGGACACUUAACUGACUGAACCACCCUGGCUCCCCUAUGAUCCCCUAUGAUACACAUUUAGUUUUGAUUUGGGAGAAGGGAAACUAUGUAGUAGGAACAACCUGUAUGGUAUAUGGGAUUGUCUCUGUGUAUUCAAGUAUAGAGUCAUCUUUUGAUAAUGGUACUAAGGAUAUUCUUGUAAAAGAACAAAUAAGGUACCUUUGGGUUUGUAUGUGACAGCUAGCUCUUUUGUGUAAGAGGUUAGUAGCUAAGUAGAAUAAACAGGAUAAAUCUUUCACAGUUUUGUGCAAGAACAGAGAAAUGGCUAGUAAACAUCAAUAUGGUAAAAAGGAUGUUCAGGUGCUCAGUUUAUUCCUGAGAAUGUUGCCUGAGUGUUGUCAGAAAGGCCGACAAAAUGUUAGUCAUUCCCUGGAAAGGCAUGAAAAAAUAAACGGACUGCGUUAUCUUGGUACAAAACCACAGUUACGUCUACUCUUAGACUAUAGAAUGGAUUUCAAUUACUGCACUUCAGGAAAUAAUAAAUCAAGGGGUGCCUAACUGGCCCAGUUGGAGGAGCAUGUGACUCUUGAUCUCAGGGUCGUGAGUUCAAGUCCCACAUUGGGUUUAGAGAUUACUGAAAAAUAAAAUGUCAAAAUAAACAGGAGGGAAGUUUCCAGAAAAUGGCAGUAUAAAUGAUGAAGGCAGUGGUAGGGCUUACAUGUGAAGAUAAAGAAAUUUGACUCCAUAUUGAAAUGAUGAAGACUGGGAUGGACUAUGAUUAAAUUAAAUUGAAUUAGAUAAAAACAUGCAUUAUAAUCCUGGAAAAUUAGAAUCAGUUUGAAGGAUGAAUAUUGUUUGACAGGUGUAUAAUGAGUGGUUUGUUUAUGAAACUUACUAGCAAGGAAGAUGGUUAAGGUUCAAGAACAAACCAGACACAAUGUUAUGGUUAUAAAGCCAGAGACUUUUAUGAUCCAGUCCUAGUUCAUUUCAGGUCAGCAAGCCAUUUGAUGAUGCUUGUACCUAAUGGUUUAUGUAACUCCUUAUUUUAUUCAUUAGAUAAAUAUUCAUUGAACACCUAAUGAGUGCUUUUUGAUUUUCCCAACAACAAUUUGUUGAGCAUCUGCCACACUUAAGGGACUGUGGUAGAUUCUGGGGAUGUACAAGAGAAUUAAUCCACUUGUAUGUGUAUGUGUGGAGAGUACAGAGGGGCUCUGCAAAGAUAAACACAGGGUUAUGCAAACUCUAGGUGCCGUGGGGAAGUAUAAACCUACAUAUUUCUUUUGAGUUGUUGAUAGGAAUUAGUAGUAGUUUUUUGUCUUUUUUAAAAAAAAUACAUUCUUUUCAUAUGUUUAAAGGCCCUGUUCUACCUUGUUAACAGAAGCAUUGUAAUCCAGUGGCAGUAUAUUACACCGAGCCCCUUCUAGAUCCUAGAGCCAGCCGUGAAGUCGGAGACCCUUGUGCAUGAAGACAGAUUUGUUCUAUGGCCUCGGAGUUGGGUGCCGGGGACGAUGGCGGCUGCACUGAGCUGGCAAAGCCCCUCUAUCUUCAGUACCUGGAGAGGGCCCUCCGGUUGGACCAUUUCUUGCGACAGACAUCAGCCAUCUUCAACAGGAAUAUUUCUAGUGAUGAAAGUGAAGAUGGACUGGAUGACAGUAAUCCUUUAUUGCCCCAGUCCGGGGAUCCCUUAAUACAAGUUAAGGAAGAACCUCCAAAUUCAUUGCUUGGUGAAACUUCUGGAGCAGGCAAUUCUGGAAUGUUAAACACAUACUCACUGAAUGGAGUUCUGCAGUCAGAAUCAAAAUCUGACAAAGGGAAUUUAUAUAACUUCUCUAAGUUGAAGAAAAGCAGAAAGUGGCUAAAGAGCAUUCUGCUAAGUGAUGAGUCCAGUGAGGCAGAUUCUCAGAGUGAAGACAAUGAAGAAGAAGAAGAAGAGGAAGAACUCAACCUCAGCAGAGAAGAACUUCAUAACAUGUUGCGGCUGCACAAAUAUAAGAAACUUCACCAGAAUAAGUAUAGUAAAGACAAGGAGUUGCAGCAGUACCAGUACUACAGUGCAGGCCUCCUGUCCACGUACGACCCUUUCUAUGAGCAACAACGGCACCUACUUGGACCCAAAAAAAAGAAAUUCAAGGAGGAAAAGAAACUUAAAGCCAAGUUAAAAAAAGUGAAGAAAAAAAGGCGAAGGGAUGAAGAACUUUCCUCUGAAGAAUCUCCUCGUUGCCACCACCACCAGACCAAAGUCUUUGCCAAGUUCUCUCAUGAUGCACCUCCUCCUGGCACCAAGAAGAAGCACUUAUCCAUUGAGCAGCUUAAUGCUCGUCGUAGAAAAGUAUGGCUCAGCAUUGUGAAAAAGGAACUACCAAAGGCCAACAAGCAGAAAGCUUCAGCUCGUAACCUGUUUCUCACCAAUAGCCGAAAGCUCGCCCACCAGUGCAUGAAGGAGGUGCGUCGAGCUGCCUUGCAGGCCCAAAAGAACUGUAAGGAGACCUUGCCUCGUGCCCGCCGCCUCACCAAGGAGAUGCUUCUGUACUGGAAGAAAUACGAGAAGGUGGAGAAGGAACACCGAAAGCGUGCAGAGAAGGAAGCCUUGGAGCAACGCAAGUUGGAUGAGGAAAUGCGGGAGGCCAAGAGGCAACAACGAAAACUGAACUUCCUAAUCACCCAGACAGAGUUGUAUGCCCAUUUCAUGAGUCGUAAACGAGACAUGGGUCAUGAUGGAAUCCAGGAAGAAAUCUUAAGGAAACUGGAAGACAGUUCUACCCAAAGACAGAUUGACAUUGGUGGAGGAGUGGUAGUUAACAUCACACAGGAGGAUUAUGAUAGUAACCAUUUCAAAGCCCAGGCCCUGAAGAAUGCUGAAAAUGCUUACCAUAUUCAUCAAGCUCGGACAAGGUCAUUUGAUGAAGAUGCAAAAGAAAGUCGAGCAGCUGCCCUCCGGGCAGCAAACAAGUCUGGUACUGGGUUUGGGGAGAGUUACAGCCUGGCAAACCCAUCUAUCCGAGCUGGUGAAGAUAUUCCACAACCUACCAUUUUUAAUGGCAAAUUAAAAGGCUACCAGCUGAAAGGCAUGAAUUGGUUGGCAAAUCUGUAUGAGCAGGGCAUUAAUGGCAUUCUUGCAGAUGAAAUGGGUCUUGGCAAAACAGUACAGAGUAUUGCCCUCCUGGCCCAUCUGGCUGAGAGAGAGAACAUCUGGGGACCUUUCUUAAUAAUUUCACCUGCUUCUACACUUAACAAUUGGCACCAGGAGUUUACAAGAUUUGUUCCUAAAUUUAAGGUGCUACCAUACUGGGGAAAUCCUCAUGAUAGAAAAGUUAUCAGGAGGUUCUGGAGUCAGAAGACCCUCUACACUCAGGAUGCCCCUUUCCAUGUGGUAAUUACCAGCUACCAGCUGGUGGUGCAGGAUGUAAAGUAUUUCCAGCGGGUCAAGUGGCAGUACAUGGUAUUGGAUGAGGCUCAAGCACUCAAGAGUAGUUCCAGUGUUCGUUGGAAGAUCCUCUUGCAGUUCCAGUGUCGGAAUCGGCUUUUGCUAACUGGGACCCCAAUUCAGAACACCAUGGCAGAGCUCUGGGCCCUGCUACAUUUCAUUAUGCCAACAUUAUUUGAUUCACAUGAGGAAUUUAAUGAGUGGUUUUCCAAGGACAUUGAGAGCCACGCCGAAAACAAAUCUGCCAUUGAUGAGAAUCAGCUCUCUCGCUUACACAUGAUCUUGAAGCCAUUUAUGCUGAGGAGAAUCAAGAAAGAUGUGGAAAAUGAAUUGUCUGACAAGAUUGAGAUUCUAAUGUAUUGCCAACUAACCAGCCGACAGAAGCUGCUAUAUCAGGCACUCAAGAACAAAAUUUCUAUUGAAGACUUAUUGCAGUCUUCUAUGGGCUCUACCCAGCAAGCACAGACCACCACCAGCAGCCUCAUGAAUCUGGUCAUGCAGUUUAGGAAGGUGUGUAAUCACCCAGAGUUAUUUGAACGACAAGAAACUUGGUCUCCAUUUCAUAUUUCCCUAAAGCCAUACCAGAUUUCAAAGUUUAUCUACCGUCAUGGACAGAUCAGGGUUUUCAACCAUUCACGAGACAGGUGGUUAAGGGUUCUUCUUUCUCCAUUUGCACCAGACUAUAUCCAACAGUCUCUCUUUCACAGAAAAGGUGUUAAUGAAGAAAGCUGUUUCUCCUUCCUUCGCUUUAUCGAUGUAUCGCCAGCAGAAAUGGCAAACCUUAUGCUUCAGGGACUUUUGGCCAGAUGGUUAGCUCUUUUCCUGUCUCUGAAAGCCUCCUACAGGCUCCAUCAGCUGCGCUCCUGGGGAGAGCCAGAAGGGGAAAGCCAGCAGAGAUAUCUGAGAAACAAGGAUUUCCUUCUUGGGGUUAAUUUUCCACUCUCCUUUCCCAACCUUUGCAGCUGCCCUUUGUUAAAGUCUCUGGUUUUCAGCAGCCACUGCAAAGCAGUAAGUGGCUACUCAGACCAGGUCAUCCAUCAGCGGAGAUCAGCUACCUCCUCACUUCGUUGCUGCCUGCUCACUGAACUGCCAUCUUUUUUGUGUGUGGCCAGUCCACGAGUUACCGCAGUGCCAUUGGAUUCUUACUGCAAUGACCGAAGUGCAGAAUAUGAGCGGCGAGUGCUGAAGGAAGGAGGGAGUCUGGCAGCCAAGCAGUGUUUGUUAAAUGGGGCCCCUGAACUGGCAACAGAUUGGCUAAAUCGACGAUCCCAGUUCUUCCCAGAGCCAGCUGGAGGACUGUGGAGCAUCAGGCCUCAGAAUGGCUGGUCUUUCAUCAGGAUUCCAGGCAAGGAGAGCCUCAUCACUGACAGUGGAAAGCUGUAUGCCCUUGAUGUCCUCCUGACUCGGCUCAAGUCUCAAGGACAUAGGGUCCUUAUCUACUCCCAGAUGACCAGGAUGAUAGACCUGCUGGAGGAAUACAUGGUUUACAAGAAGCAUACCUACAUGAGGCUUGAUGGUUCCUCCAAGAUCUCAGAGAGGCGGGACAUGGUUGCUGAUUUUCAGAACAGGAAUGACAUCUUUGUGUUCCUGCUGAGCACUCGAGCUGGAGGACUGGGUAUCAAUCUCACUGCUGCAGAUACAGUGAUUUUUUAUGAUAGUGACUGGAACCCCACUGUGGACCAACAGGCCAUGGACAGGGCCCACCGCUUGGGGCAGACAAAACAGGUUACUGUGUACCGGCUCAUCUGUAAAGGCACCAUUGAAGAACGCAUUCUACAGCGAGCCAAGGAGAAGAGUGAGAUUCAGCGGAUGGUGAUUUCUGGUGGGAACUUCAAACCAGAUACCUUGAAACCCAAAGAGGUGGUUAGUCUUCUUCUAGAUGAUGAAGAACUGGAGAAGAAAUUGAGGCUGCGGCAAGAAGAGAAACGGCAGCAGGAGGAAACCAACCGAGUCAAAGAGCGCAAGCGCAAGCGGGAAAAGUAUGCAGAGAAGAAGAAAAAGGAAGAUGAAUUGGAUGGGAAAAGGAGAAAAGAGGGUGUGAACCUAGUAAUUCCAUUUGUUCCCUCGGCUGAUAACUCCAACCUUUCUGCUGACGGGGACGACUCCUUCAUUAGUGUGGACUCGGCCAUGCCCAGCCCUUUCAGUGAGAUCUCCAUCAGCAGUGAACUGCACACUGGCUCUAUCCCCCCCGAUGAGAGCAGCAGUGAUAUGCUGGUGAUCGUGGAUGACCCAGCCUCUUCAGCCCCCCAGUCUCGAGCCACCAACUCUCCCGCUUCCAUAACGGGCUCCGUUUCAGACACCGUGAAUGGAAUUUCCAUUCAGGAAAUGCCAGCCGCAGGACGUGGUCACUCAGCGCGAAGCCGAGGCCGCCCCAAAGGUUCAGGAAGCACAGCCAAAGGAGCAGGGAAAGGCCGGAGCCGGAAGUCCACUGCAGGCAGUGCUGCCGCUAUGGCAGGAGCCAAAGCAGGGGCUGCGGCAGCAUCCGCAGCCGCCUAUGCUGCAUACGGGUACAACGUGUCUAAAGGAAUCUCGGCCAGCAGUCCUCUGCAGACGUCCCUUGUUCGGCCUGCUGGCCUUGCUGACUUUGGACCUUCAAGCGCCUCUUCUCCCUUGAGUUCCCCUUUAAGCAAAGGAAAUAAUGUUCCCGGGACUCCCAAGAGCCUCCACUUGACCAGCAGCCUAGCCCCAGAUUCCCUGGUCCGGAAACAGGGCAAAGGCACCAACCCCUCUGGAGGACGAUGGAUGAAACUGGAACCUAAAAAGUGAAGACUCCAAGCUCAUUAACCAGUCCCCAAGUUAUGACUCAUGCUCUGUCUACCCACUUUCUGAAGACUUGUACAUCUUCCAUGUGAGAUAGCCCAGCUCUCAGGAACCCAGGGAGCCAGUACCCUAAAAUGGAAAAAGGCUGGGGGAGGGCUCUUGCCUGCUAAAAGAAACAUCCCUCAGGAAGCCUAGAAGCCCAGGCCUUAGAGUGCAGAUCUGGUGUGGAUCACAGUGAGGGCUGUCUCUUUGGCCGAGGUCACUUUGCCACAUGAGCCAGCUCUGAGGACCCCAGGGUUUUCUUGGUCAUCAAAACAAGGACACCAGGUAAAAGCAGAACUGGACAUAGGAAGUCACAAAGCUCAAGAUGUCUCUCGCAGUUCUCAUGGAGCCUUUGGUUCCUAGUUCCUGGCACCUGGGGGAGAGAGACCAGGAUUCCAGAGAGAGAGGCCCCCCAACUCUUUCCUUCCUCAUAGGUAAGAGUUCCUUCCCAAAAGGCAGGAGAAUGUGCUCCUGUGAGCACCCCUGCAGGGCCCAUGCCUCUGCUGUCCCAUGGGAUUUCUGUGUCCUGGGACCCAAAGCUCAAGAAUGAAGGCCUGGCCCCAGGGGCUAGAGUGGCCUCUCUGGGUCCAACCUGGACUGGGGAUUGGGCCAUAGCAAUUGGGGAUUCCAUAGCCUUGGGGAUUCCCAAGGCAAAAAGGAAGCUCCUGUGAAAGUUAUAGGAGACCAUCGCAGUUUUUCUAAGCUCCCCCAUUCCCAGCUGGUGAUCCCCCAGAGAGCAGCUCUGUGAGAGAAUAGCCAGGAGCAUUCCAAAUGUUUUACCUCCUCCUCCACCAUCACAAACCACAAACCCCACCCUAAAUCAGGCCUACCUAUGGCUGUUCCUUCUACCAGAGAAGAGAGAAGGGGCUUCCUUCCCAUUUCCCAGGUAUGGGAAGCACCUCGUUUAAAACAAGAUAAAAAAAAAAAUUUUUAAUGUUUGUUUAUUUUUAAGAGAGAGGGGGAGACAGGAUCCCAAGCAGGCUCUGCACAAUAGCGCAGAGCCCAGUGCAGGACUUGAACCCAUGAACUGAGAUCAUAACUUAAGCUGAAGUCGGAUGCUUAACCAACUCAGCCACCCAGGCAUCCCUAGAACUGUUUUUAAAAGGUUUUAUUAAUGUCACUGCUUAAAAACACCGUAUCUAGUAAACCUGUCUUAACAUUUCCCGAGGCCCUGGGUCAUGUGAGGAUCUUGGUGCCCAGGCUCACUGCAAAGUGACUAAUAUGUGCACAACAUUAAAUAGCACCAACAGCUACACUGGCACAAUUCUUAAGUCUACUUUGAAGAUGGCCUCUGCCCCCUCACUGUUUUUGUGCCCAUAUGAGGUAGCCCUCUCUCUUCUAACUUUUUCCAAAUUCUGGAGGGCUUGAAACCAUUUUACCGGAUUUGGAACUUCUGAACCAAUGAAAAGUACUCUGAAGGAGGAAUUGUGGGGUCUUCUAGGAAUGAUGUAAUUGAGCUUCAGUACAUGCCUCCUGUUUGGCCUGUUUUCUGGCCCUCCCGAGGGCCUCUAGUAACUGAGCUCUGGAUAAGACAAGUGUCUUAGAUAAGCAUGUUCUGGUUUUUAACCAGUUCACUAAAGCUUGCUGUCUGUAUUUUUUCUCUCCUUUUUUUUUUUUUUUUUUAAUGUUUAUUUAUUUUGAGAGAGAGUGGAGAGGAGCAGAGAGAAGAAAGAGAAUCUCAUGCAGGCUCUGUGCUGUCAGCGCAGAGCCUGACCCCAGGGCUCAAUCUCAGGAACUGUGAGAUCAUGAUCUGAGCCGAGAUCAAGAGUCAGAUGUUUAACCGACUGAGCCAUCCAGGCACCCCCUCCCCCUUUUUUUUAAUUACCCUUAAAAAGCAAAAAAAAAAAAAAAAAAAAAGUACUGAUUAACUUAAAUGACAAGGAA